GAUUGCAGUGUGUGUGUGCUUAAAAUAAUGUGAUAAACUUAACUUGCGUGAAGCUAUAAGCAUUUUUAAUAUAGAGGGAUGCUUUGCCUGUUGAUAAUGAUGAUAUUGUAGGAUGUUGUAAUAUUGUAACUAUGAACAUCUCUCUUCUUAGAACUGCUUUUUUGUAAACCAUUCUUGGGAGCCACGUAUGGCUGCUGAAUGGCAUAUCAAUCAAUCAAUCAAUCAAUCAAUAAUGCAUACUAUAGUGUGGAGACAGAAAUGACAAUGAAAUUGCGUGCAGAUCACGGAUUCAUUUGUCCACCCAGCAACUACACUGUCAAAGCAAAAGGAAAAUCCCACCUCAUCCGAGAAAAAUGGUGGUGAAGCCCUUGUUUGUGCUAUGCCUUGCUAAGCGUGCCACCCACCAGACGCUGCGCUGUACUGGCCUCCGUACCGGCCCACGAGGAGGGAGUACCCACCGUCCUGUUUCGUAAAGGGAGAGCCGACAAGCCACAAAAUAAGCUUCUGGGUGAUUCAGAGCCUGAGCAACGAACUCGCCCGCCCACGUCCACCUCUGCCUUCCACACUGGGUCCAAGGGGCGGUGCGAACAGCUCCCAAGGCUACCGGUGAACAAGGCUCACGUGGAGUGCAGCUGCUCUCGGAGCAGCCCUCCAUUCCACAAACACAUCGACCCACAGGAGAGUCCCCUGCACCGGCAGCCUCUUUGCCUUCAGCCCCAGCACCCCUGCCACGGCUGUGCUGCUCGAGGUAGACGGAGCUGCAACAACCUCUCGGGGCUGCCGGCUGGUUCUGCCUGCCUCAAGGAGGCCUCCCCAGGCUCGUCCCGAGGCCGCAGGACAAAGGAGGGGCCGUUUCCCCAGGGUACAGCACUGCACGAGAGCCGGCACGGCGGGCAUGCGCUGCCCGACCACUGCGCUGCCCCCGGUCUGCACUCCUCCUCUAGGCAGGCACUCGACCAGUCGCCCCAGAAUCAGGCUCCAGAGAAGCUCUGUGCAGCCGUGCAGCUGCUCGGCUGGCUGGCUGGCUCUUGGGGCAGCCACCGGGCGCGUCACUUCUGCGGCCCCGAGGGGAGUUUCGAGCGUGGGAGGCAGCAGUCCCCUUUUUUACAUAUUGGGCUUGUUGUGCAUAAAGGCUG
rnacentral:lncRNA from 1 species